rnacentral:siRNA from 1 species
AAGGUAUGAGUCUUGUUGAUACUG